UGAAAGCAGAGGCUGGGCUGGCCAGGGAGAAACAAUGGUCAUUUGUGAAGGAGAGGAUGCUGGGAGCUCUGUGUCUCUGUAACAGGUGGCAAAACCAUGUUCACCUAUAAGGCUUCAAACCUUUGUUUAGUGAAAUGAAGUGUUAGCAAACCCAGAGAGAGUUUUUAAGAGCUUAUGCAUCCAUCAGAACCAGAGCCACAGAGUGGGAAGAGAACCACAAGACAUUUCCACAAAUACCUGUGGCUUUGUGAAUAGGAGUGAAAUGAGGCUCAGCGGCCUGUGUGAUUUGCCCAAGUUGAAAGAGAAGGCCACCACACCAUUCCAGGUCUGCCUUUUAUGUAAUGUCUUCUGCAGUUACACUCGAUUACUGCAGAUCAGGAGCUGGUGCUACCUUUCCUCGGGCUUCUGGAUUUUCUGCUUUCAGGGAGCUUGCUGCUCUGAGCUUCGGUGCUUUCGAUUGCAGAAAGGGAGCAGCUGCUGAUAGGAUUUGUGCUGUAGUCGAGGUGGGGCCAGAGUCAGUGGACCUCAGAUACUUGGUAAUGCAUGCCAUUAACCUUCACCGUGGUGGUCACUGCCCCGGUUCUAGACUGGUGCCCCAUGGCUCUAGACUGACUGGAUGGUGCUGGCUAAGAACUAAUCCUGGCCUACCAUGGACUGUGAACUCCUUCGAUUACCAGCAGAACCAAGUUUCAGAUGCCGCUCUGUGCACCGCCUUCUAAGCACUUCAGAAAGAAUGGCUGGAAGACUGGAAUGUCUCAGGUUCUGGACCAGGGCAGCCACCAGGAGGGAAGGUUUCAGUGAUUGGAGCACUCAGGAAGAGCCAUCAUCACAGGCAACUUUAGCAGUUACCUUGCUUGGUGACUCUUUUUUUCCCUCUUCCUUUUCUUUUUUCCCCUCUUUUAACUAUUGUGAAGGUCUUUGAGACGGUAGUUGAACACCAUCCCAUCAUUGUUUCUUUGAGGUGACAUUAGCUAUUUAUUAAGAAUAUAAGGGAAGUUGGCUCUGGGAUUGCAAAAUGAAAGGCAGAAUGUUCUUCUCAAAACAUGAAGGGUUCCAAAAAAUCAUCAGGUCACAUGGUUAGGAAAGACAGACUAGAAAAAGCUGUGAGUGUGAUUUUUGUGGAUUGAACAAAGCCAGGUGAUUAAAAUAUGAUUUAUUUAUAAAGUAAAAA
rnacentral:lncRNA from 1 species